GUAGAGAAACCUUGCCCCUUUCAACUAGCAUUAAAUAAGUACUUUCAUGUUUUAUUCAUCAUUAGUAAUGUAAUGUUCCUUUUUUUGAUAUGUUGUAAUGUAAUGUUCCUAUUCGUUAGUUUUGUCAUGUUUUAAUUUUAUAAGCUUAUGUAUGCUUAUGUUCAAAUCAAUUCCAGGUGAACGGAAUUGAAGGCAAUGCUGUUUGGGAGGUUCUUGUCAUUGCAGGAUGAUGAUAUUGUCUCAGUGCUUCCUUCUAUGCUGCUUCUUCAACCUUGAUGGCAGAGGCAAAGAGCUUGUCUGGAAGCUCUUUGAUGGUUCAAGCAUAUAUCAAUGGAUAUCUGUGUGGUGUUCACUUGUUGACACAUAUAGUUCUAAUUAAUUUGGUGAAGUUACUUUGGCUGGAGACUUAUGUGGACUUUAAUUUGUUUGGUUUAUUGGAAGACAUUAAAACUAUAUGUAAUUUGUUUGCUUGUUUAAGUUUUUAUUUUGUUGUUACUAAAGCUACUUGGUAUGCUGUUU